rnacentral:rRNA from 1 species
UACGAGUGCCUCAAGCGUUAUCCGGAAUCAUUGGGCGUAAAGGUUGUGUAGGUGGUUGUAUUAGUCUCUUGUUAAAUUCUUCGGCUUAACCGGGGGCAUGCAAGGGAAACGGUACAACUCGAGGAUGCGAGGGGUCUGCGGAACUCAUAGUGUAGCGGUGAAAUGCGUUGAUAUUAUGGGGAACACCAAAAGCGAAGGCAGCAGACUGGAGCACUCCUGACACUGAAACAAGAAAGCGUAGGUCGCGAAUGGG